rnacentral:tRNA from 1 species
GUUUAGGUGGCUCAAUGGUUAAGGCUUUGAGUUACAGACUAGAAGGUCUGGGUUCAAAACCCAGCAACA